CCGCCUGUUUACCAAAAACAUCGCCUCUUGACAAAAUAUAAGAGGUCCAGCCUGCCCGGUGACCCACGUUAAACGGCCGCGGUACCCUAACCGUGCGAAGGUAGCACAAUCACUUGUUCUUUAAAUUAGGACCAGUAUGAAUGGCCCCACGAGAGCUAUACUGUCUCCCCCCUUUAAUCAAUGAAACUGAUCUCCUCGUGAAGAAGCGAGGAUAACCAUAUAAGACGAGAAGACCCCAUGGAGCUUUAAACUUGUGUCACUGACUUACAUAAAUCAACAAGCUUGGACAAGUAAUGACCACAAGUCUUUCGGCUGGGGCGACCACGGAGAAAAACUAAACCUCCAUGAUGAAAGGAACAAUCCUAAUCAAAGAGCUACUGCUCAACGAAUCAAUAAAAUGACAUAUUGACCCAAACAUUUUUGACCAACGAACCAAGUUACCCUGGGGAUAACAGCGCAAUCC
rnacentral:rRNA from 1 species